AUGUCUUCAAUACAUUUUGGUGUUAUUAUCCUGAUCCCCAAAGUUGUUGGGGCUACGGACAUUAGACACUUCAAACCUAUCAGGGUGAUCAAUGUUCUUCAACGCAUCUUCUUCAAAGUCCGCGCGACACGACUAGCCCAUGUAGCUGAGGGGCUGGAUCACCCCCUUCAAACGACAUUUCUGAAGGGACGACAGAUCCAUGACAGUAUCCUGGCCCUUCACGAGAUUAUUGAUGAGGUUAGGACACGUGGACAUAAGGGUGUUUUCCUCAAGUUGGACUUUCAGAAGGCCUAUGAUUGUCUGGACUGGUCCUUCUUUCUGUUAGUCCUUCAGCGUCGGGGCUUUGAAGAAAGACAGUGUUCUUGGAUCAUGUCGUUGGUUCGGUCUGGUAAAAUAGUGAUUAAUAUUAAUGGAGAGGUGGGUCCAUUCUUUAUGUCCUCUACGGGAGUUAAGCAAGGGGAUCUAAUUUCCCCACUUCUCUUUAACCUCGUUUGA
rnacentral:rRNA from 1 species